AGUUUUCCGGUGGCGGCGGCGCUAGUUGGUCUGCACGAAACGUUUCCCUUCUCGCUCCGUGUGUCCCAUUCUCCAUCCCACGUCCUCCAGUGCCGGGGUCAUGGUCGCAGCACCCGGCGUUCCCGUUGGCUCUUUUGCCGCUGCGCGGAGCCGGCGGUUUUUCUGUCACAGCACUUGUACGGAGUUUCUCGGCGGCCGAACGUCUCUUUUUUUCUCAGAGACGACGGUUUCUUGGUGACAGUACCGUUGGUUGCGCCGUAACGAAUGUUCUCCUUGACAGCCCCACCAGCUGGCGUCACUCGCAGGCUCCAGACGCCGCCAUUUCGCCAAGCCGA
rnacentral:lncRNA from 1 species